UUGGAAAGACACUAUAUAUUAUAUAAUAGGUGAAAUUAGGAGAAAGUGUGACUUCAGACUGUCAGAUUGGUGUAAAAGAGAUGUAUUGGGUUUUCCAGAAACUGACAUAUUCUCCAGGGCUGAAACGGUGCAGACUUUCUCAUGAGAAUGUAUAGUAUCUCUUAUACCAGAGGAAAUAUUCAGAAACAAAUAUUCAUCACUCGCCACAGUUGUCUGUUUUAUUAGUUUUAUUAGUAUUACUGUGUAAAAAGAGACAGUGCAUCUUUACAGAUCAGCAAUGGCACCUGACUUUACAUCACUGGUAAAGUAUAAGUAACAAGUAAUGCUAAAUCAAAUCAAAGGUGUUUUAAAUUGUAUGCAUAUUAUCCAUACUGUCACACUGCCAUCAGACUAUGACUGUUUGUUGUGAAUACAUGCCCUCUAGUGGUGAAAAUUGCAUAAUCUACCUUUAAAGUGAUAAUUCAUCCAAAAAAUGUAAUUCUGUCUUCAUUUAUUCUUCCUUCACUUGUUCUAAACCCUGUUUGAUUUUCUAUCUUCUGUUGAAAACAAAGAAGAUAUUUUGAAGAAUGCUGCUGCCCCCAAUAACUUCCCUAGGAGUUAGUUUUUCCUACAUUUACAGGUAGGUCGUAGCAACCAGCAUGCUUCAAAAUAUCUUUGUGUUCAACAGAAGAAGUAAAUUGAUAAAAGUUUAAAGCCACACAAGGGAGAGUAAAUGAUGUGAUUUUCAUUAGUGAACAAAUUCUUUAAAUAGAAGUUUCAACAGUGGGAGGAUAGUGACGUUCUCUUCCUGAAGCUGCACUUCCUCUUACAUUCACAAUAAAGUCAACCAACUUACUGCAUGUGAGUCACACAAACACAGAAUGAAGACGACGCUGCUUUUACUCCUCUAUCUGCUGCUGUGGUGUCAAAUUACAGAAGGUUUAUUUGAUAAACGGGUAAAUUUAGGUGAAAAUGUGACAUUAGACUGUCAGAUUGAUGUAAAAGAGAUGUUUUGGGUUUUCCAGAAACUGACAGAUGCUCCAGUGCUGAUACUGCGGACUUUCUCAACAGAAUCUACAGUAUCUCAUAUAUUAGAGGAAAGAUUCAGAAACAAAUAUUCAUCACUCACUUUGAGCCGUUUGUUUAUUAGUAGCAUAACUAUUGAUGAAAUAGGAGUAUAUUACUGUAUAAAAAGAGACAGUACAACUAUAAAGUUCAGCAACGGCACCAGACUCUACAUCACUGAUAAGAGUCAGACAAAACCAAACGAGUCUCAUUAUCAAACGACGCAGGAGGCUCUGAUAGUUUUAUACAUCAUACUGAACAUCAUGAUGUUUUCUGCAGUAAUAGCCCUAUUUCAGAUCAAACUUCAACUGUGUAAGAAAAGACAACAACAAAAUGAGGAACUGGAGAAGAUUUUCUGCACAAGUGCGGCAGAGUUUUCUGAAGUGGAGUUUCGUCUUUUUCAACCGAACAACAACACUUUUGCUCCUUUUCAAAAUCCAAUGACAAAAACCAGACGCAUAUAAUUAUCAUUAUCAUUGCAGUCUACAGAAUCAUGUUCUGCUGAAUAAUGAAAGCAAAAUAAUGUUCGCUUGAUUGCUGACUCUUGUUUCAAAUUGACUGAUGUUUGUAAAUUUUACAUAGGUAAUGUAAAAAUGAUGUUUUCAGCAUGCCUUCUGUUUGAUUUUGUCUUGAUAACUAUUAAAUAUUAAUACAAUAACUGUAUUUUGUUCAUUAUUCAUUUCAUUUUUGGUUUUUAUAUCACCUCAAAAUGAUGUAAAUGUACAAUAAGCAAUACAUGUGUAAACUAUAAGUAAAAAAUUCGGUUGGUAUAUUUUUUACUUGCAAAAAAAUUAUUUACAUUUGAAAAUAUUAGUGCAAUAGAAAUAUUUCAGUUUCGACUGUUUUUUAUGCUUUCUAUUUGAAAAUGUUUCAAAUGUAAUUUAUUCAUGUGAUGGUAAUGCAUUUUCUGCAGCCGCUAGUCCAAAUGUUGUACAGCUUGGUGUUUUCGAAAUAAAUUUUACGAUGUGGUUAACUGAACAGACAGUAAUUAUAUUAC